UACGGAGGGUGCAAGCGUUAUCCGGAUUCACUGGGUUUAAAGGGUGCGUAGGUGGGCAGGUAAGUCAGUGGUGAAAUCUCCGGGCUUAACUCGGAAACUGCCAUUGAUACUAUCUUUCUUGAAUACCGUGGAGGUCAGCGGAAUAUGUCAUGUAGCGGUGAAAUGCGUAGAUAUCGAGAGGAACACCUGCGGCGAAGGCGGGUUGCUGGGCUGACACUGACGCUGAUGCGCGAAAGCCAGGGGAGCGAACGGG
rnacentral:rRNA from 1 species